rnacentral:rRNA from 1 species
UACGAAGGUGGCUGGCGUUGCUCGGAAUGACUGGGCGUAAAGGGCGCGUAGGCGGCUUACAUAGUUAGGCGUGAAAUUCCUGGGCUCAACCUGGGGACUGCGUCUAAUACAUGUAGGCUUGAGUGUGAAAGAGGGUCGUGGAAUUUCAAGUGUAGAGGUGAAAUUCGUAGAUAUUGGAAAGAACACCGGUGGCGAAGGCGGCGACCUGGUUCAUUACUGACGCUGAGGCGCGAAAGCGUGGGGAGCAAACAGG